rnacentral:lncRNA from 1 species
UGCUGAGAAAUAUAAGAACGCCAGGUGCGUUCAGUCACUGAAAGGGGGAGCUUGUGGAGAGGUCUUUGGGAAACAGUAGACCCUGUGUAGCUACCUCUUCAGUGAGUCCAAGUCUCUGGUGGCGGGCCUGGGGCCAUCGUGGUCAGCAGGCCCAGAAUUGGGGAAGAGGUGGGGUAGAGGAAAGCAAGGACAAGCUGGAGCCCGCCAAGCACCUCUGCAUCUGUCUGUCACCAAAUUUCCCCUUCAGGGAACAAUGGCUGUUCCUUCACUUCCACCUCCCCAUUCUCAUCCCAGUUCCUCUGUGGGCCAGAUCCCGCUACGUAAGGAGGGAGCUUCUGACAAAUACAGGUCCUGCUUAACCAAGUGGAAAAUAAAACUUGGACCAACACAAGCAACAAGACAGAAGCAGCUCAGGCCCUGCCACCAAGGAGCAACCAUACCAGACCCAGACUCUGCUCACACGUGGACACUUGGGCAAGAGAAAAAUAAUUUCUACCUUGCUUAAGCUACUGCAAGUCUGGAUCUCGGUUUCUUCAGCUGAAUGCAUAUCCCAACUAAAACACCAUCCACAUUUCCACUUGUAAUUGUCAAGUUAAAUUUCCAGUCCCUCCAGGUUAUAGAUCUGCUACUUGCCUUUCAUUCUCUGGCAGCUUCUGGGCUUCCCAUUCUGGUGGGCAGUCCCACACCCACAGCCAGUGAUAGACCAAGCCUUGCUACUGCUCACUCUCAAGGGCUGCCGCAGCCCUCACCUAGGUCUUUCUUCCAGGCAGAAGAGAAACUGCCGCCGCUUGUGCCUUCCCUCAGGGUGCUGUCCUCAUCUGCGUGGUCAAGGCUGGGUUCCUGCCAUGUCUGCGUUCACAUCUCCGCAGGAAUGAGGAAAGGAAGCAGAGGAAGGACGCUUUCCUUUGAACUGCGAAUGCCCUCUUCGGAACUCCUGUUCACAUAG